GUUAACUUGCAAACCCUGUAACAGACCUAUACUUGUGAUGUCCACGCUGACAGUUCCUGUGCUGUGGAUUUCCUUUUCGUUCGCCAGUCCUCCAGACAGUCAGGACGAGUGGACUCUGAAAACACCACUGUCAUCAGAGUGAGACAGCAGGAAACCCCUGACAAGUAGCUUCACUCCAUCUCAUCAAGCCCACACCGAGCUAACGUAGCUGCAGACAGAACAUCUCACUGGACUCCUCUCCUCAUCCUCUCAGCACUGGAGCAGAUCAAGAUGAGCUGAUGAACGUCUGUGAACAGCAAAAGGUUUUGCAAGGCACUGUUGGAUUCCAGGUGCUGUAGAACUGACCAGUAACACAAGAUGUGUAAAUUAAAAAAUGUGUAUUCAAACUGGAAACACCAAUGAAGAAAAGGCAAGGGAAAGCAGUGGGAGGAGCAUUUGUAGUCCCUGACCUCAGGACACCAGAGACAAACAAACCUGAAGGAUUGUGGGAGAAGAUGCAGAUUGCUGAUGAGCAACCUGCUCACUAUAGCAAUGUCGUGUGAUUUGUUCACUUCUUGGUGAGCAUGUAGGAACAUCGCAGUCACAGUUUCUGGUCUGGCUUGUGAUAUCUGAGCAACUGUUGGUCUGGAUUUAAAUAAAAUGUUAGCAUGUCUGGCUAAUUAGCCUUGGCUACAUCCUUGACUGUUUGUGAACAGGAAGUC